rnacentral:rRNA from 1 species
AUUGAACGCUGGCGGCAGGCCUAACACAUGCAAGUCGAGCGAGCGGCGGACGGGUGAGUAAUGUCUGGGAAACUGCCUGAUGGAGGGGGAUAACUACUGGAAACGGUAGCUAAUACCGCAUACCAUCAGAUGUGCCCAGAUGGGAUUAGCUAGUAGGUGGGGUAACGGCUCACCUAGGCGACGAUCCCUAGCUGGUCUGAGAGGAUGACCAGCCACACUGGAACGGAGACACGGUCCAGACUCCUACGGGAGGCAGCAGUGGGGAAGAUUGCACAAUGGGCGCAAGCCUGAUGCAGCCAUGCCGCGUGUAUGAAGAAGGCCUUCGGGUUGUAAAGUACUUUCAGCGAGGAGGCGUUACUCGCAGAUGAAGCACCGGCUAACUACGUGCCAGCAGCCGCGGUAAUAC